GAUGAAGAACGUAGCGAAAUGCGAUAAGUAAUGUGAAUUGCAGAAUUCAGUGAAUCAUCGAAUCUUUGAACGCACAUUGCGCCCGUUAGCAUUCUAGCGGGCAUGCCUGUCCGAGCGUCAUUUCAACCCUCAGGGUCCCCGUUCCGGCGGGGAACCUGGUGUUGGGGAUCGGCCCGCCCCGUGCGGCGCCGUCCCCCAAAUUCAGUGGCGGUCUCGCUGCAGCCUCCCCUGCGUAGUAGUUACAACCUCGCAUCGGAGCUCAGCGCGGCCACGCCGUAAAACCCCCGACUUUCUGAACGUUGACCUCGGAUCAGGUAGGAAUACCCGCUGAACUUAAGCAUAUCAAUAAGCGGGGA
rnacentral:misc_RNA from 1 species